rnacentral:rRNA from 1 species
UACGGAGGGGGCUAGCGUUGUUCGGAAUUACUGGGCGUAAAGGGCGCGUAGGCGGCGAUUCAAGUCAGGCGUGAAAGGCCUGGGCUCAACCCGGGAACUGCGUUUGAUACUGGAUUGCUCGAGUCCGGGAGAGGAUGGCGGAAUUCCCAGUGUAGAGGUGAAAUUCGUAGAUAUUGGGAAGAACACCGGUGGCGAAGGCGGCCAUCUGGACCGGAACUGACGCUGAGGCGCGAAAGCGUGGGGAGCAAACAGG